rnacentral:misc_RNA from 1 species
GAUGAAGAACGCAGCGAACUGCGAUAAGUAAUGUGAAUUGCAGAAUUCAGUGAAUCAUCGAGUCUUUGAACGCACAUUGCGCCCCCUGGCAUUCCGGGGGGCAUGCCUGUCCGAGCGUCAUUGCUGCCCUUCAAGCCCGGCUUUGUGUUGGGUCGUCGUCCCCCCCGGGGGACGGGCCCGAAAGGCAGCGGCGGCACCGCGUCCGGUCCUCGAGCGUAUGGGGCUUUGUCACCCGCUCGAUUAGGGCCGGCCGGGCGCCAGCCGGCGUCUCCAACCUUCUAUUUUACCAGGUUGACCUCGGAUCAGGUAGGGAUACCCGCUGAACUUAAGCAUAUCAAUAAGCGGAGGA